UACGAAGGGGGCUAGCGUUGCUCGGAAUCACUGGGCGUAAAGCGCACGUAGGCGGACUCUUAAGUCAGGGGUGAAAUCCUGGAGCUCAACUCCAGAACUGCCUUUGAUACUGGGAGUCUUGAGUUCGGGAGAGGUGAGUGGAACUGCGAGUGUAGAGGUGAAAUUCGUAGAUAUUCGCAAGAACACCGGUGGCGAAGGCGGCUCACUGGCCCGAUACUGACGCUGAGGUGCGAAAGCGUGGGGAGCGAACAGG
rnacentral:rRNA from 1 species